GUGAAAACAAACAAACUAGCACACAAUGAAAAACCAAUUUGUGCAUGUGAGAAUAUCUUGACCAGAGGGUAUUGAAAGGCUGACAUAGGCUACCUGAGAGAUCCACUAUAGAUGUCUUUGUGGCACAUUUUUCCUUAAGCUGUAUUGGCUCCAUGUGAUUCUUUACUUAGAAUGUUUGCCUGACACAUACAAAAUAAUCAAUAAAUGUUUUAGGAAUGAAUAAAUGACUGAAUAAAUGAGCACUUUUCUUAACCAGCCUGGGAAUUCAUGAAUGCCUCCCUAAAAGAGAUGACACCUGAACAGUGGGCCAAUUUUUUUGGAAAGAAGAAUGGAUAUUGAGAGGUCAUGACUUUGUUAAAAGCCAUAGAAAAGAAAAUGAGUUGCCUGCCUUCCAGCAGCCUGCUCGGGUCAAAAGAAGUGUGGAGCCAAGAAGGACAAUGGAGAACAAUUAUAAAGGAUUAUCAGCUGAUGAAAUGUUAUCUUUUUGAUUUUCAAGUCAUGUGUAUAUGGUACUGUUAAAUACAAUUAUAAUGAAAGUAAGUAGCCUGGUCUACCUGCUUUAGAUAUUUGAUAAUCAACAAGGAAUAAUAUUCAAAAUAUGUAGC
rnacentral:lncRNA from 1 species